rnacentral:rRNA from 1 species
CCUACGGGCGGCAGCAGUGAGGAAUAUUGGUCAAUGGACGCAAGUCUGAACCAGCCAAGUAGCGUGCAGGAUGACGGCCCUCCGGGUUGUAAACUGCUUUAGUUGGGAAUAAAAGGGGGCUCGUGAGCCCCGUAUUGUAUGUACCAUCAGAAAAAGGACCGGCUAAUUCCGUGCCAGCAGCCGCGGUACUACGUAAGGUCCGGUCGUUAUCCGGAUUUAUUGGGUUUAAAGGGUGCGUAGGCGGAAUGCCCAGUCAGCGGUAAAAUCGCGGGGCUCAACCUCGCUCCGCCGUUGAAACUGGCGUUCUUGAGUGGGCGAGAAGUAUGCGGAAGGCGUGGUGUAGCGGUGAAAUGCAUAGAUAUCACGCAGAACUCCGAUUGCGAAGGCAGCAUACCGGCGCCCAACUGACGCUGAAGCACGAAAGCGUGGGUAUCGAACAGGAUUAGAUACCCGUGUAGUC